rnacentral:lncRNA from 1 species
GAAAAGGGUGCCCCUUGCCAUUUUGGUGAAAUGGUGGCAGAGGAGGUAGACCUCGGGGUGUGGGGACUUUAAAAGGCAUGCCCGCUGAUGUGGCAAAGCAAAGGAGCGGUGGCGGCUGGAGUUAGAGGUGGCUAAGGUUUCUUGCUUAGGUUUUAGGUUUUGGGCUUUGGGCUUUUAGGGUUUUUAGGUUAGCAGAUUUGGUAUUUAGGGUAAAUUGGGCUUGUAAUUUUGACUUUAUUUAUUUAUUUUUGGUUUUUUUGUUUUUGUUUGGGCCAGACAGAUUUGGGCCAUUAUAGCUACCCCUCUUUGCUCGUUGUCGUGUAACGGAAAGGGAGCAAAGACCUCAAAAGAAAACCAAUUCUGUUUGAUCCCGCUGAAUCUCGACUUCUCUAGUAUUUCUCUUUUUCAAGCAACCAACUCUUUCAGUUCCUUGGUUACUCUACUUUACUGUAUCUGCUUUGCUCUAACUUUAAGAAGGUAU